rnacentral:rRNA from 1 species
GAGCGCCCCGCAAGGGGAGCGGCAGACGGGAGAGUAACACGUGGGAACGUGCCCUUUGGUUCGGAACAACACAGGGAAACUUGUGCUAAUACCGGAUAAGUCCGUAAGGAGAAAGAUUUAUCGCCAAAGGAUCGGCCCGCGUCUGAUUAGCUUGUUGGUGAGGUAACGGCUCACCAAGGCGACGAUCAGCAGCUGGUCUGAGAGGAUGAUCAGCCUCACUGGGACUGAGACACGGCCCAGACUCCUACGGGAGGCAGCAGUGGGGAAUAUUGGACAAUGGGCGCAAGCCUGAUCCAGCCAUGCCGCGUGGAUGAUGAAGGCCUUAGGGUUGUAAAGUCCUUUCGGCGGGGAAGAUAAUGACGGUACCCGCAGAAGAAGCCCCGGCUAACUUCGUGCCAGCAGCCGCGGUAAUACGAAGGGGGCUAGCGUUGCUCGGAAUCACUGGGCGUAAAGCGCACGUAGGCGGCUUUUUAAGUCAGAGGUGAAAUCCUGGAGCUCAACUCCAGAACUGCCUUUGAUGCUGGAGAGCUUGAGUCCGGGAGAGGUGAGUGGAACUGCGAGUGUAGAGGUGAAAUUCGUAGAUAUUCGCAAGAACACCAGUGGCGAAGGCGGCUCACUGGCCCGGUACUGACGCUGAGGUGCGAAAGCGUGGGGA